rnacentral:sRNA from 1 species
AUGCGUUAGCGAUAGUAGUGGCACCCUUUUUUGAAAUAAAAUGAAAAAAAAGGUAUAACGAAUAGCGCGACCUGAA